AGCGAACGCUGGCGGCAGGCCUAACACAUGCAAGUCGAACGAACCCUUCGGGGUUAGUGGCGGACGGGUGAGUCACACGUGGGAACGUGCCUUUAGGUUCGGAAUAACUCAGGGUAACUUGUGCUAAUACCGAAUGCGCCCUACGGGGGAAAGAUUUAUCGCCUUUAGAGCGGCCGGCGUCUGAUUAGCUAGUUGGUGAGGUAAUGGCUCACCAAGGCUACGAUUAGUAGCUGGUCUAAGAGGAUGACAAGCCACAUUGGGAGUGGGACAAGGCGCAAACUCCGACGGGAGGCAGCAAUGGGGAAUCUUGCGCAAUGGGCGAAUGCGUGACGCAUCCAUGCCGCGUAGAUGAUUAAGGUCUUAGGAUUGUAAAAUCCUUUCACCGGUGAAGAUAAUGACGGUAGCCGGAGAAGAAGCCCCGGCUAACUUUGUGCCAGCCGCCGCCGUAACAC
rnacentral:rRNA from 1 species